GAUGAACGCUAGCGGCAGGCUUAAUACAUGCAAGUCGUGGGGCAGCACAGGUAGCAAUACUGGGUGGCGACCGGCAAACGGGUGCGGAACACGUACGCAACCUUCCUUUAAGCGGGGAAUAGCCCAGGGAAACUUGGAUUAAUACCCCAUAAGACAAUGGUGUGGCAUCACACAGUUGUUAAAGCUCCGGCACUUAAAGAUGGGCGUGCGGCUGAUUAGGUAGUUGGCGGGGUAACGGCCCACCAAGCCGACGAUCAGUAACUGGUGUGAGAGCACGACCAGUCACACGGGCACUGAGACACGGGCCCGACUCCUACGGGAGGCAGCAGUAAGGAAUAUUGGUCAAUGGACGCAAGUCUGAACCAGCCAUGCCGCGUGGAGGAUGAAGGCCCUCUGGGUUGUAAACUUCUUUUAUUGGGGAAGAAACCUGUUUUUUCUAAAGCAGUUGACGGUACCCGAUGAAUAAGCACCGGCUAACUCCGUGCCAGCAGCCGCGGUAAUACGGAGGGUGCAAGCGUUAUCCGGAUUCACUGGGUUUAAAGGGUGCGUAGGUGGGCAGGUAAGUCAGUGGUGAAAUCUCUGGGCUUAACCCAGAAACUGCCGUUGAUACUAUCUGUCUUGAAUGUAGUGGAGGUGAGCGGAAUAUGUCAUGUAGCGGUGAAAUGCUUAGAUAUGACAUAGAACAUCUAUUGCGAAGGCAGCUCGCUACACUAUUAUUGACACUGAGGCACGAAAGCGUGGGGAUCAAACAGGAUUAGAUACCCUGGUAGUCCACGCCCUAAACGAUGGAUACUCGACAUCAGCGAUACACUGUUGGUGUCUGAGCGAAAGCAUUAAGUAUCCCACCUGGGAAGUACGACCGCAAGGUG
rnacentral:rRNA from 1 species